CGCUAGCGACAGGCUUAACACAUGCAAGUCGAGGGGCAGCACAGGUAGCAAUACCGAGUGGCGACCGGCGCACGGGUGAGUAACGCGUAUGCAACUUGCCUAUCAGAGGGGGGUAACCCGGCGAAAGUCGGACUAAUACCGCAUGAAGCAGGGGCCCCGCAUGGGGAUAUUUGCUAAAGAUUCAUCGCUGAUAGAUAGGCAUGCGUUCCAUUAGGCAGUUGGCGGGGUAACGGCCCACCAAACCGACGAUGGAUAGGGGUUCUGAGAGGAAGGUCCCCCACAUUGGUACUGAGACACGGACCAAACUCCUACGGGAGGCAGCAGUGAGGAAUAUUGGUCAAUGGGCGUAAGCCUGAACCAGCCAAGUCGCGUGAGGGAUGAAGGUUCUAUGGAUCGUAAACCUCUUUUAUAAGGGAAUAAAGUGUGGGACGUGUCCCGUUUUGUAUGUACCUUAUGAAUAAGGAUCGGCUAACUCCGUGCCAGCAGCCGCGGUAAUACGGAGGAUCCGAGCGUUAUCCGGAUUUAUUGGGUUUAAAGGGUGCGUAGGCGGCCUUUUAAGUCAGCGGUGAAAGUCUGUGGCUCAACCAUAGAAUUGCCGUUGAAACCGGGGGGCUUGAGUAUGUUUGAGGCAGGCGGAAUGCGUGGUGUAGCGGUGAAAUGCUUAGAUAUCACGCAGAACCCCGAUUGCGAAGGCAGCCUGCCAAGCCAUGACUGACGCUGAUGCACGAAAGCGUGGGGAUCAAACAGGAUUAGAUACCCUGGUAGUCCACGCAGUAAACGAUGAUCACUAGCUGUUUGCGAUACAGUGUAAGCGGCACAGCGAAAGCGUUAAGUGAUCCACCUGGGGAGUACGCCGGCAACGGUGAAACUCAAAGGAAUUGACGGGGGCCCGCACAAGCGGAGGAACAUGUGGUUUAAUUCGAUGAUACGCGAGGAACCUUGCCCGGGUUUGAACGCAUUCGGACCGAGGUGGAAACACCUUUUCUAGCAAUAGCCGUUUGCGAGGUGCUGCAUGGUUGUCGUCAGCUCGUGCCGUGAGGUGUCGGCUUAAGUGCCAUAACGAGCGCAACCCUUGCCACUAGUUACUAACAGGUAAAGCUGAGGACUCUGGUGGGACUGCCAGCGUAAGCUGCGAGGAAGGCGGGGAUGACGUCAAAUCAGCACGGCCCUUACAUCCGGGGCGACACACGUGUUACAAUGGCGUGGACAAAGGGAGGCCACCUGGCGACAGGGAGCGAAUCCCCAAACCACGUCUCAGUUCGGAUCGGAGUCUGCAACCCGACUCCGUGAAGCUGGAUUCGCUAGUAAUCGCGCAUCAGCCAUGGCGCGGUGAAUACGUUCCCGGGCCUUGUACACACCGCCCGUCAAGCCAUGGGAGCCGGGGGUACCUGAAGUCCGUAACCGCGAGGAUCGGCCUAGGGUAAAACUGGUGACUGGGG
rnacentral:rRNA from 1 species